AUAGGUAUUUGUAUAUUCAUGCGUGUAGAAGCACACCGGUGUACCUGAGUGUCCCUCGUGGAGAGCCACGCCUCUGUGCGUCCCAGUGGAGAGUGUUGGAGGGUCUCUCCAUGCGAUAAACUCCCCGCGUGACAGACUAUCUCCUGAGGUGUUUGAGACUUGCUUCUACUCAGCCCGGCGCCUUCAAAGCACCAUGGCAGUCGCAGGCGCUUCUCAGUUAACUGGUCGCGCGGCGAGGCUGGAAAACCCACUGGCUGCUCAGGUGGACGGGACUUGUCUGAAGAGGAAGCAUGAGGCCAGCAGAAGUCCCUGCAGGAGAGUGGAAGUACUGUUUGUGCAUCCCACGGGAGCAGCCCCACAGGAUAUGAGUAUUCUCAGCUGCCGUGGUGAGGACUCCCUAGGAAAUUCCCGAUACAGAGCAACAACUCCGCUUCAGAGAGUCCCGUGAAAAGCUGCGUCAACGAAAUCCGAGGAGAAUCGUCCUUGAAAAAGAUAGGCUCGUCCCAGAAGGCAGUUGGCUGUCAUUUAGAGAACUUGACCUCUGACGGAGAGUCGGAUGUGCUUAGCAUAAGGACAUUUCCAUUGCUGUUCCUGAAGUUAAUGCUGUGUGAGCUCCAGCGGCCACGCCGACGACAUGGAGUGUGAGCCAGUAGACCUUCUGUGUUGGUAAACGUCUGUCCUCACAGCAACAGAGUGAUGGUGAAGAUGGUCCGGUGAUGGGAAGGGGUCACCCGCUGUGCACGCAGCUCUCCUGGGACUUGGCUUUCCAGCUCAUC